UCCCCUAGUAGCGGCGAGCGAACGGGGAGCAGCCCUUAAGCUGUUUAGUGUGUAGUGGAAUCCUUUGGGAAGAGGAGCGAUACCGGGUGAUAGCCCCGUACACGAAGCGUGCUUUACAGUGAAAUCGAGUAGGUCGGGACACGUGUUAUCUUGACUGAAUAUGGGGGGACCAUCCUCCAAGGCUAAAUACUCCUAACUGACCGAUAGUGAACUAGUACCGUGAGGGAAAGGUGAAAAGCACCCCGACGAGGGGAGUGAAACAGUACCUGAAACCGAACGCCUACAAUCAGUCGGAGCCCCCUUGCGGGGUGACGGCGUACCUUUUGUAUAAUGGGUCAGCGACUUACAUUCAGUGGCAAGCUUAACCGAGUAGGGAAGGCGUAGCGAAAGCGAGUCCGAAUAGGGCGUCUAGUCGCUGGGUGUAGACCCGAAACCAAGUGAUCUAUCCAUGGCCAGGAUGAAGGUGCCGUAACAGGUACUGGAGGUCCGAACCGACUAGUGUUGCAAAACUAGCGGAUGAGCUGUGGAUAGGGGUGAAAGGCUAAACAAACUUGGAAAUAGCUGGUUCUCUCCGAAAACUAUUUAGGUAGUGCCUCGAGUCUCACUACAGGGGGUAGAGCACUGUUAUGGCUAGGGGG
rnacentral:rRNA from 1 species